AAACCAUGUAGAGGAAAUUUUCUAAGUAACUCCUUAAAUCUUCUCUUCCCCAAGCUUCGUAAAGUGUUUCAUCCUCUGAUUCUCAAAAAGAAAUGAUCUCAUUUCUAAGCUU
rfam:Gossypium raimondii chromosome 6, whole genome shotgun sequence.